UUAAUUGAAGAGUUUGAUCAUGGCUCAGAUUGAACGCUGGCGGCAGGCCUAACACAUGCAAGUCGAGCGGCAGCACAGAGGAACUUGUUCCUUGGGUGGCGAGCGGCGGACGGGUGAGUAAUGCCUGGGAAAUUGCCCGGUAGAGGGGGAUAACCAUUGGAAACGAUGGCUAAUACCGCAUAACCUCGUAAGAGCAAAGCAGGGGACCUUCGGGCCUUGCGCUACCGGAUAUGCCCAGGUGGGAUUAGCUAGUUGGUGAGGUAAGGGCUCACCAAGGCGACGAUCCCUAGCUGGUCUGAGAGGAUGAUCAGCCACACUGGAACUGAGACACGGUCCAGACUCCUACGGGAGGCAGCAGUGGGGAAUAUUGCACAAUGGGCGCAAGCCUGAUGCAGCCAUGCCGCGUGUAUGAAGAAGGCCUUCGGGUUGUAAA
rnacentral:rRNA from 1 species